AAAUCUAAAGCAGACAGGCAUUUGUUUCAUAGAUUAAACUUUGACUUUUACAAAUGCCGGGUUUCCAUCUUUCAACUCUCGACUCGAGAAUUCUAUGUGGUGAAGUUGAUUGUUUGGCACAAAUCUUCAAACUACAUGAUGUUAUAUUCCAUGAUCAUAUUAUUGUUUGACAUCGAUGGCCCCUUGAUUUAAUUCUUGCAGCAUUACUCACAGUUUGCAGACUUAUCAACACCCAAUUAAGUUAGAGGCCAAUGCCAAAGGCACGCUCUACUAGGCGGCAAAGCACGUGGACAGUCUAUUGAAUAUCUUACGCAAGGGAUGUCGGUAUUUGUUUCUUCGUCUGUUCUUCUACCUCUUGUUAUUAUCAAGCUCUUGGUGUCUGAGAAAUUUUCGAUUCCUCUUCAUUAAAUCAUUGUGGGAGAAAAUGCAAGCCGGUCGUGACACUUCAUUUAUUAAGGAAAUAAUAACAUCUAAUUAGAUUAUUCGAAACGUUUAAAUUUAGUUCAACCAGCACUUGCAACUUAAAUUAGAUGGUAAACUCUCAGGAGAAGCGAUUGCUUUUGCUAGGAACUCUGAUUCCUUUACCUUUAAUUUCGACAGAUUUUCAGUGGAGUUAAUGCGAUUCCUUAGGAUUAUUUCAAUCUUCUGAAAUCCACUUUAAAAAUAGGGACCUUUUAUAGCCAGCUAUUUGGCGGUCAAACAAUAUUUGGUCGGACUACAAUGCAGAAUUAGUAGAACAUGUGACGUCGUACUGUACUGAACAGGUGAAAAAAUAUUGCUUCGAAUGCAUCGACAAUCGUUCGUGAUAUUAACUAUAAUGGAGACUAUCCACACUAAGAUUCUAUUGAGGUAAAAUUCAGCAGUCGACCAAACCACCUGGGUCUAUGCAACCUUAGAACUUGUUUGUUAUUAGUCAGGGUUACGGAUUUUCCACGGCGGCCAAGGCCACGGAAGCUUUUGAUUUUGUUUUUUAACAAAACGAUGCUUUAAAUAAACAGUCUAAGUUGGAUUAAUAAGGCAACGGACGGCAGAGCUUUUGUGUCGUGUGUUUAAUUCGUUUACCGCUGUUUCUGUGCUGCAGCUGCGCCUUGCUCAGCAAUGCGGAGCAAUUUUUUUAAACAUUCCUGAAGAAAAAAAUUAUCUUUCAAUUUUCAUUGUAAGAGUUUCGGAUAUUUCAUGAUUCGUUUUUAGCGUCUUCUCCGAUGAGGUUGAAAUAAGUACCUAUAAGUAUUAUGUUACCUUUUUUAGGUAGGUAAACAUCACGUUUAGCCCCCAUGCGAUGUGAUGUUUGGGAAUAAAGUUGUACCAAACGUUUCUUAAGAAUUCAAUACGUUAGAGGAAUCCAACUUGAAUCUUUUAAAAGAACUUCCAUUUCUUCCCACGGAAAACUUCUAUUUCUUUUGCGAUCUCAUAAUUAUAGCAACAACUAAGUGUCCAUUGACUAAAGGGCGAGUAAAAACAUAUUAGGAAUAUUUUUUCGAUGUUUAAUCUCUCUCGGCAAACACUUAUUGCAAACAUUUAUUUCACGGCAGCUUACGUCAAUAGUCCGGUUCAAAUGACUUUGGCCUUGGCCUUUUCAUUUGCAUUUAAAUACCUCUAAAAACUACUACUCCAGGGCUUUCCGCUCUUUUCACAAAAAUUAAUUGUCCUUUUAUAUUACGCACGCCUAAACAGGAAACUGACGAAGUUCAUUGUCCCAAAGCCGACUUCUUCACUUCGUUUGUUAAGCAAUCUCUUGCAAACUGACAAAGCGUUCAAAUAUCACGAGUUAUCUGCACUUUCUUAAGGAGGGACAAAAUAGAUAUAAUAAAAACAAAAACAAAAAAACAGGAAGAAUUUCGUUUUUGGGUAAGAGAGUAACUAGUGUUUGAGGAGAACAAAAAGAACCUACGUAAGAAACUUAACUGUGUAACUUCUUAUACGGUUGUUCUCAACUGACCUUGGAAUGCAGCUUUGCAAAGCAUUACACAUUCUUUCCUUACGUAGGAGGUAAAAACAGAAUGUCUGAGACAAUUCACGGAAUUCACAAAUCUCAAAGGUUGUGGGAAAAUCUUGCAAGAGAUCAUUAAGAGACUUGUUUUGUCUGGUUGCGUAAGAAAAUACAAAGAACACAUUAUGAUUAAAAGGAUGUGAUAUGCAUCUUACGUGAUAGUCCGCGAUGACAUUGGCCUUGACAAUUCCAUGCGGAGCUCCGCCUCUGUCGCGCCACAUGAGACAUUUGACAACCGAAGCGGAAGACCGCUUCUUAACUCUUCCUUAAGUCUCAAACCCGACCUGGGUUACCAAAUGCGGUAAGCUUUGCAGUACAGCUUAUGUAAGUUAUGUUCGUGAUUAAACAGUUUUGCAUCACAUA